AUGGACUGUUUUCCAAUUCUCCUCACCUCAGUGUAAAUUUGGAAAAGGACUGUAACUGAACCUGGUCAAAAAAUGUUGGAAGUCUCAUGGGAAGAGAAAAACCCACAAAUAGCUAAUACAGCAGAAUCGGUCUCAAUGGCUACUUGGAAAGUAGACAAAGCUCUGAAGAUGAUCUACAGGAAGGAUUAAAAAUCACUGGAGCAUUUCAAAGUGUAAUGGUAAAGGCUGAAAUGAAACACCUCAUACCUGAUGUUUAUUUGCCACCAGAGGAGAGGGAUCUCACCCAUGACAAAGGGAAAGACACAGCUUCUUCCAGGACUCCAGUGCUUUUCCUUCUCAGAUAGAAAUGAGACAUGGCUGAUAGAUAUGCAGAGAGAACAGGAAGGAUUGAAAUGCUUUUGGAAGUCAUCAGGUUCUUUGGCUAUUGUGUACCUAAACAGCACCUGCUGCAUGGGGCUCUCAGCUCAGCUGAUGAUGGUGACAAAGGCUGGUGGGCUCAGGACUAAAUGUGGGAGCCUGGCUGUGCUUCACCAUCAUCACUACCUGUGUGGCAAGGCAUUAAAGAAAAAUUGCUCUGUAGGGUAUGAUUACAAGUGGUUCCUGCAGCAGUGUGCUCUCAGGCCACUCAGAUGCUUGAGUGGAAAAAGAAGCCACUCUGUGAAAAAAGGAAGGGUUCACACCUGGGUCCCUUGACAAAAGCCAGAGCAACAUCUGGUCACACGGCUCAUAUGAGCACAGUGAGCCCAGAGCUCUGGGAAAAGCUUUUCCAAGAAAAAAUUCAUACUGGGUGAUGCCUACUGAGAUCAGGCUGUGUCUCCAGAUCACCUGCAUUAGUUACAACAUGUAAAUUGGGGUUUUUCUGCUCCUGUCACUCAUGAGCAGCAUCCAUCAAAGAAGUCUGAAAUUUAAAUUACAGAAGUUUAUCAGCUGCUUGCUGUUAUCAAGUUAGUUCUUGUAAUGUUUUGGUUCAUAUGUUAAAUAAACCCACUUAUUUUGA